GCCCUGGUAGCUCAAUUGGUUAGAGCGUCGGACUUUUAUAAGAGAAAUCUUACAAUUGGCCAUCCGAAGGCUGCGGGUUCGACCCCCGCCUGGGGCG